rnacentral:ncRNA from 2 species
CAAAAGCAUCAAGAGUUUGAGCCGACGCUCAAACGCCAACCUGCUCCCGAGCAAGGUGGCGCUUCCGCAAGGAGGGAUGUGGCCGGUCCGGCAACCAAACGGGACGAA